AGGUUUUGUAUUUCGUUUUUUUACU
rnacentral:miRNA from 1 species